AAACAUUGGUAGGCCAACUACACCCCCUACCCGCCUGGAUACUACGAGCAUUAGCUUGAAAUCCAAAGGACUUGGCGGUGCUUUAGACCCCCCUAGAGGAGCCUGUCCUAGAACCGAUAAUCCCCGUUCAACCUCACCUUUCCUUGUUAAUCCCGCCUAUAUACCGCCGUCGUCAGCUAACCCUGUGAAGGUUUAGUAGUCAGCACAAUUGGUACAGCCAAGAACGUCAGGUCGAGGUGUAGCGUAUGGAAAGGGAAGAAAUGGGCUACAUUCUCUAUAAUAGAGUAUACGGAUGAUGUACUGAAAAAAUACUUCUGAAGGUGGAUUUAGCAGUAAGUGGAAAAUAGAGUGUUCC
rnacentral:rRNA from 1 species